GUCAGGUGGCUAUUGGCCAUAGCGCUGGGCUGGAGACCGGGCUGACCGAGGAAGGAGUUCGACUCUUCCAUCAGACC
rnacentral:tRNA from 1 species